rnacentral:rRNA from 1 species
AUUGAACGCUGGCGGCAGGCCUAACACAUGCAAGUCGAACGAGUGGCGGACGGGUGAGUAAUGUCUGGGAAACUGCCCGAUGGAGGGGGAUAACUACUGGAAACGGUAGCUAAUACCGCAUACCAUCGGAUGUGCCCAGAUGGGAUUAGCUAGUAGGUGGGGUAACGGCUCACCUAGGGGACGAUCCCUAGCUGGUCUGCGAGGAUGACCAGCCACACUGGAAUGGGUACACGGUCCAGACUCCUAGGGGAGGCAGCAGUGGGAAAUAUUGCACAAUGGGCGCAAGCCUGAUGCAGCCAUGCCGCGGAGAUGAAUAAGUCCUUCGGGUUGUAAAGUACUUUCAGCGAGGAGGCGUUACUCGCAGAGGAAGCACCGGCUAACUCCGUGCCAGCAGCCGCGGUAAUUC